rnacentral:ncRNA from 1 species
UUGGAGUUCGGCUCCAAAUUCAGGUGCGCUACAGUGUCUCUGCACCCCGAAUUGUAGUCUGGAGAAGGGUCCUCUGCAGCGGACCGGGUUUAAGUCCCUUGGAACGGGACGCCAGAGAGGGUGAGAGCCCCGUCUAGCCCGGACCCUGCUGCAUCACGAGGCUCUUUCGGCGAGUCGGGCUGUUUGGGAAUGCAGCCUUAAGUGGGUGGUAAAUUCCAUCCAAGGCUAAAUACUGGUGAGAGACCGAUAGCGCACAAGUACCGCGAGGGAAAGAUGAAAAGGACUUUGAAAAGAGAGUUAAAAAGUGCUUGAAAUUGCUGGGAGGGAAGCGAAUGGAUGCCUUGUGCGCCCCUUGGUUGUGUGUGGAACGGCGAGAGCUGGUCUGCCAAGCAAUGCAAGGGGCUGUCCAGCAUGGGAGGACGCGGCGGGAUAACGGCUUGUGAGCCUCUGGCUCCCUGCCAAUGCCGCCGCUGCCUCUGAAAAUGGU